GGAUGUGAUCAUACCAGCACUAAAGCACCGGAUCCCAUCAGAACUCCGAAGUUAAGCGUGCUUGGCGAGAGUAGUACUAGGAUGGGUGACCUCCUGGGAAGUCCUCGUGUUGCAUUCC
rnacentral:rRNA from 1 species